GACGAACGCUGGCGGCGUGCUUAACACAUGCAAGUCGAGCGAAUGGAUUAAGAGCUUGCUCUUAUGAAGUUAGCGGCGGACGGGUGAGUAACACGUGGGUAACCUGCCCAUAAGACUGGGAUAACUCCGGGAAACCGGGGCCAAUACCGGAUAACAUUUUGAACCGCAUGGUUCGGAAUUGAAAGGCGGCUUCGGCUGUCACUUAUGGAUGGACCCGCGUCGCAUUAGCUAGUUGGUGAGGUAACGGCUCACCAAGGCAACGAUGCGUAGCCGACCUGAGAGGGUGAUCGGCCACACUGGGACUGAGACACGGCCCAGACUCCUACGGGAGGCAGCAGUAGGGAAUCUUCCGCAAUGGACGAAAGUCUGACGGAGCAACGCCGCGUGAGUGAUGAAGGCUUUCGGGUCGUAAAACUCUGUUGUUAGGGAAGAACAAGUGCUAGUUGAAUAAGCUGGCACCUUGACGGUACCUAACCAGAAAGCCACGGCUAACUACGUGCCAGCAGCCGCCGUAA
rnacentral:rRNA from 1 species